CGUCCGAGGGGCGCUGCAGCAGGCUACUCCUUAAAACAGAGGGCAUGUCAGGCUCGGAUGGGGCGUUAUCUCAACGCAUCAACGGCGCCCAUUCGC
rnacentral:ncRNA from 1 species